CUUGCUUUCCUCCCAUGUUUUUCUCUCUCUGUCUGUCUUCUCUAGUACAUUGGCCAACACACACCCUCUAUCUCUCUCUCUGUCCUUGCCUUUCCUCGUGUUGUCUCCCUUCGUAAGACACGGGCAGCUGUGUAAUGUGUGCAUCCCCACAGGCUGUGUCUCGGGAGCCAUGGAGAAGUUGGAGGGGACGAAAAUCAUCCAGGGCUGUGACUGUUGGUGUCAUCUCUGUCUCUGUUCGUCGAGUGGGGCUGAUGUAGAUGGGGUUGGAGAGGGAGGCCAGGAUGAGGGCAAGAUUUGAAGCAACAAAUAGAGCUUUAAGUAGUGAUGGCUCAUGCUUGGCUUUUGCAGCUGCGCUUCCAGAGGAAUUUUCCAAGAGCCCUAUCCUGAGGAGAAAGUGGCAGAAGUGGACAUGAGCAGACUGGACAUCCUUGUUAGCAGACAUGAACAGUCCUCAGCUUUCUGACUCCCGCAUAAUUGGCUUGCCAAGGGAAAAGAAAUCAAACGUCAAAGUUUACUCCCCUCGUCGGAUGGAAAGCGAGCGAGAGCAGUGAGCCUAUGAGCAUUGUUGAUGCAAGUUUGGAGCCGUCCACUUGGCAGUGGAGCAGUUGCUACUGUCAGUGAGAUAAGUGUGUGGUUUGGUGAGGGGUCUGCGUAGGGCCCCACUGGCUCCAAGUAGGGAUGCCCCGUUAGCUGGGGCUGGGUUAGUAAGAAAUGGUUCCUAACCAGCUGUGGUUACGAGAGAGACAAGGUCCCCAUUUUCAGGGGCUGCUCAUUUCUCUGCCCAGAUGUGGUGCAUCCUCGGCAGCGGAAGGUUGCAUCCAGGAGGAUGACUCAGGUGGUGAGUUGCUUGCGUUCCUCCCAUUUUUUUUCUCUGUCUCUCUCUCUCCUCUAGUGUGUUGGACAACUUUCUCAGUCUCUUUCCUCUCCUCUCCUCAUGCCGUCUCCCUUCGUAGGACCACGAGCAUCCGUCCUAGGUGUGCAUCCUAGCCAGGUCUUGGGAGCCACGGAGAAGUAGGAGCAGACGAAAACCAUGCGGGGCAGUGGGCGCUAAAGUGGAGCUGUGACUGUUUGUGGUUACUCGGUCUCUGUUCAUCGAGUGGGGCUGAUGUAGAUGGAAUGGGAGACAGAGGCAGGGAUGAGGGCAAGAUUCAACACACCAAUAGAGCUCUGUGUAGUGAUAGUUAUUGCUUGGUUUUAUUAGUUUGCAGAGGAAUUGUCCAAGACCCUAGCUGGACAGGAAUAUGGCAGAAGUGGACCUGAGCAGUCUGGACAUCCUUCUAAGGAGACGUGAAUAGGCCUCAUGUUUCUGCCUUCUGCAUCGCUGGCUGUGAGUAAGAGGUUUAGUACCAAGGAAAACGAAGUCACGCUUCAGAGUCUACCGCACUCAUGCGAUGGAAAGUGAGCAAGAGCAUUGAGACUCUGAGCAUUGUUGAUGCCCACAAAAGCCGUCCAUCUGGGAGCUGAGGAGGCGCCGCUAUCAGUGAGAUAAGUGUCUGGUUUGGUGAGGGCUCUGUUUACGCCCAACC